rnacentral:rRNA from 1 species
UCGAGUGGCGGACGGGUGAGUAACGCGUGAACAAUCUGUCUCAGACAGGGGGAUAACACUUGGAAACAGGUGCUAAUACCGCAUAAGACCACGGUGCCGCAUGGCACAGGGGUAAAAGGAGCAAUCCGGUUUGAGGUGAGUUCGCGUCCGAUUAGAUAGUUGGUGAGGUAACGGCCCACCAAGUCGACGAUCGGUAGCCGACCUGAGAGGGUGAUCGGCCACAUUGGAACUGAGAGACGGUCCAAACUCCUACGGGAGGCAGCAGUGGGGAAUAUUGGGCAAUGGGCGAAAGCCUGACCCAGCAACGCCGCGUGAGUGAAGGAGGCCUUCGGGUUGUAAAGCUCUGUGAUCGGGGACGAAGGAAGUGACGGUACCCGAAGAGGAAGCCCCGGCUAACUACGUGCCAGCAGCCGCGGUAAUACGUAGGGGGCGAGCGUUGUCCGGAAUGACUGGGCGUAAAGGGCGUGUAGGCGGCCGAUUAAGUCCGGAGUGAAAGUCCUGCUUUCAAGGUGGGAAUUGCUUUGGAGACUGGUUGGCUUGAGUGCGGAAGAGGUAAGUGGAAUUCCCAGUGUAGCGGUGAAAUGCGUAGAGAUUGGGAGGAACACCAGUGGCGAAGGCGACUUACUGGGCCGUAACUGACGCUGAGGCGCGAAAGCGUGGGGAGCGAACAGGAUUAGAUACCCUGGUAGUCCACGCUGUAAACGAUGAAUGCCAGGUGUUGCGGGUAUCGACCCCUGCAGUGCCGGAGUAAACACAAUAAGCAUUCCGCCUGGGGAGUACGGCCGCAAGGUUGAAACUCAAAGGAAUUGACGGGGGCCCGCACAAGCAGCGGAGCAUGUUGUUUAAUUCGAAGCAACGCGAAGAACCUUACCAUGUCUUGACAUCGAGGAAAAGUCACAGAGAUGUGAUGCUGCCCUUCGGGGCGCCGAAGACAGGUGGUGCAUGGUUGUCGUCAGCUCGUGUCGUGAGAUGUUGGGUUAAGUCCCGCAACGAGCGCAACCCUUAUGGUCAGUUACUAACGCGUGAUGGCGAGGACUCUGACAAGACUGCCGGGGACAACUCGGAGGAAGGUGGGGACGACGUCAAAUCAUCAUGCCCCUUAUGACAUGGGCUACAAACGUGCUACAAUGGUGGCUACAAAGAGGAGCGAACCCGUAAGGGCGGGCAGAUCUCAAAAAAGCCAUCUCAGUUCGGACUGUGGGCUGCAACCCGCCCACACGAAGUUGGAGUUGCUAGUAAUCGCGGAUCGGCAUGCCGCGGUGAAUACGUUCCCGGGCCUUGUACACACCGCCCGUCACACCAUGGGAGUUGGGAGCGCCCGAAGCCGGUGAGCGAACCGAAAGGGAGCAGCCGUCGAAG